AUGGUUUACCGCAUAUUCCCUAACUUAGGGUUUCGAAUUUACAAACACUUCCAUUUUCCCUGUCAAAGCCCCGUCCCGCACCACAGAUACAGCCUCGCCCUCCAACCCCGCCCCGAGAGGCUCCAUCAUUUUCGAACACCUUGUCACGAGCCCAGGGCAGGCCCUGCGCCGAACGCGACCUCCGCCUUCCCACCACGUGUCCCGCGUCCCCACCGCAGGGCGGAAGGACGCGGCUCCGCUCGCGUCGCGGCGACGGAGCCGCAAGGCCCCUCCCCUGCCACAGCGUCUCCCGGCCGCCGGCGCCCGCCGCUCAAAGGUGCCGGCAAGACCAGCGCCCGGCCCCGCCGGGCUCUGGGCCGACGGGGCAGACGGCAGCGGCCGCCGCGGCACCACGGAGGUCUCCGGCGAGGCGAGGCGGGGCGGGGCUCUGGCUGGGCGGGGCUCCGGCCGGCGUGGCGCUGCCGGCGUGCGGGGCUCCUCCCCUUUCCCCCGGCGGCGGCGCCGGCGGCCGCAGAACUUCCGGGUCGGCGCGGAGGCGGGGCGGAGGCGCCGCAGCGGCUGUUAUUGUUCAGCUGGGCUCCGCUGGGCGCUGUCUCCCUUGGCUCAGAGGGUGUCAAUUUGUCCCGCUUCCUCUCGACCCCUCACUCCCGGAGGCUGACGACGACGGCGGCGGCUGCGGCGGGCGGGGCCUGGCGUUUCGAGGCUGAGCGGCGCCGGGGUGAGGGGCGCGGAGAAGGAGGAGCAGAAGCAGGAGGAGGAGCCGCGUGCCCUGGCACCGAGCGGCCGCGGCCAUGGCGUACGCCUAUCUUUUCAAGUACAUUAUCAUCGGCGACACAGGUGAGCCCCGGAGCGCGGCGGGCGGGGGUCGGCGGCCUCCGGGCCGGGGCUGGGGGGCAAACGGCGUCUGGCCGCGGCGCGGGAGCUGCCGCCGCCGGGCGCCUCCCCCCCCGGCCGCGCCGCUCCAUUUCCGCAGUGCUGGAGCUGGUGACGUGGGCACUGCGAGCGGCCGCGGCCUUGCCUGGCCGGCCCGGCCCGCCGCCCCGGCCCCGGCCCUGCAGCUGGGGGCCGCGGCCGCCGUUUCGACGCGCGAUCUGGGGAGUGUAUGAGAGGAGGGCCGGCCCAGCCCGGGGCCGUCAGAGCCUGGCUCUGAGGAUCGCACGCCCUGCCCCGGGCCCCUCGCCUUGGGCCUCUUCGCCGCCCCCGAGAGAGGAAAGCGGGGCCGAGGAGAGCAGACGGUGA
rnacentral:lncRNA from 1 species